rnacentral:rRNA from 1 species
CCUACGGGAUGCAGCAGUGAGGAAUAUUGGUCAAUGGGCGAGAGCCUGAACCAGCCAAGUCGCGUGAAGGAUGACGGCCCUACGGGUUGUAAACUUCUUUUGUCAGGGAGCAAUUGGGUCCACGCGUGGGCUUAGCGAGAGUACCUGAAGAACAAGCAUCGGCUAACUCCGUGCCAGCAGCCGCGGUAAUACGGAGGAUGCGAGCGUUAUCCGGAUUUAUGGGGUUUAAAGGGUGCGUAGGCGGAAUAUCAAGUCAGCGGUAAAAAUUCGGGGCUCAACCCCGUCGUGCCGUUGAAACUGAUGUUCUUGAGUGGGCGAGAAGUAUGCGGAAUGCGUGGUGUAGCGGUGAAAUGCAUAGAGAUCACGCAGAACUCCGAUUGCGAAGGCAGCAUACCGGCGCCCAACUGACGCUGAAGCACGAAAGCGUGGGUAUCGAACAGGAUUAGAUACCCUUGUAGUC